AUUCUCUCCAGCACGAGCUACAUUAACGUCACCAAGUCAACAUAAUUGCAUACGUCACAUAACACCACCCGCGGCCCGUGUGCGUUUACUAUCAAAACUUGAAUUUUUUCGGGUGCCACUGAGUCAAAGACAACGAGCCUAGAAAAGCUCAAGACACUUUCCCUCACGAUCACAGAUUGGCGUCUUAUUUUCGAAUCCUUAACGUGCACUUGUCUGGCUGGCGAACCGAUAACGAGCACUCGAUGCAAGCGGCAGUGCUAGCAGCAGCAGAAGAGCUUGCAGCGCGUCUCUAAUCUUGGCUACGUACUUCGCCGCGGAAAUUUUCGCGGCUAAUUUGUGCAGGGAGGUCCGCGACUUUCGCAAGAACUCCACCAAUGCAAGCAACGCGUAAAUGUACAACUGGAUCAACUACGUGCAAAGCACCUGAAUUACUUCACUACCAUCGAGCGGCCAACGAGAAACUCACUGCCAACACCAAUUCUUGCAAAUCUAAUUGAGAAUCCCAAAAUACCUCCAACACAAAAAUCGGUCUCUGUGUUUUGCUACUUUUCUUCUUCUUAUAUUUGCCGAAUCUCGAGCUUUUCCUUAUUCGAUUUUUUCUUCUGAAUGCUCGCGCGUUUUGUUGUUUUCCUAUUAUUUCUCUUCGAUUUUUCACCUUCCCGGACACGAUUUUAAUCUUUUGAAAUUUUUCUCAAAUAAACCUUUAAAUAAAUCAC